CCCUUAGAUGUUCUGGGCCGCACGCGUGCUACACUGAGUAAUUCAAUGGGUAAGGGAACGCUAGAGCAUUACCUAAUCUUGAAAUUUGCUCGUGAUGGGGAUCGACGGUUGCAAUUUUCCGUCGUGAACGAGGAAUACCUUGUAGGCGCAUGUCAUCAUCAUGCGCCGAAUACGUCCCUGCCCUUUGUACACACCGCCCGUCGCUCCUACCAAUUGAGUGAUCCGGUGAGGCUCUGGGACCUGGACGGAAAGAGCGUUUCGCUUGUUCUGUUUGGGAAACUUGGUCGAACCUUAUCAUUUAGAGGAAGGAGAAGUCGUAACA
rnacentral:rRNA from 1 species